UAAUUUAAUAAUAUAAUUUUUAACAACCUGUGUUCAAAUCUGUUGAGCAGAUUUGGCUCAAGAAAAAAGUACAGAAAGUAUUUAAAGGAAAACUUAAAAUGUGGAAUCAUUGUAUUAACAUGUUCAGAGUUCUUUAGGAAGAUUAAAAUGAGAGGCGAGAGCUACCACUUUCAUGUAGCGCAUGUUGUUUGCCCUGCCUGCCAGUGUCCAGGUAA
rnacentral:lncRNA from 1 species